rnacentral:rRNA from 1 species
GACUCCAUGAAGUCGGAAUCGCUAGUAAUCGCAAAUCAGAAUGUUGCGGUGAAUACGUUCCCGGGCCUUGUACACACCGCCCGUCACACCAUGGGAGUGGGUUGUACCAGAAGUAGAUAGCUUAACCUUCGGGAGGGCGUUUACCACGGUAUGAUUCAUGACUGGGGUGAAGUCGUAACAAGGUAACCGUAGGGGAACCUGCGGUUGGAUCACCUCCUUACCAAAGAA